UGAAACAUCUACAUAUAUAUGAUUAUGUGAUAAUUGGCUAUUUUCCCAUACUGGAAGUGUUGUUCUUCUUUAUCCUAAAAAUAAAAUAGGGACUGCUGCUAAAAGUUGGCUAAGAAACACAGAUUCGUUGUGCUGGGGUUGGAGAAUUGUGCAGAAUGCUCACCUCCCUCCUCACAAAUGAAGGUAAUGCAAAAGCAGCCGAGUGAAUCUGUCAAUUAAACCACAAAAAGAAGAAGCUUGAAUCAUUUUCUGAGACUGCAAGUAAUUGUUUCUUGAAUUCCCAAAGAACAACUGAACUGUCAUAUAUUUAACAACAGAGGAAAUAUCAUUAGCAUUCAUGAUCAAUAGCAGUGGCUAUACUGCAUUGGGGCUCGGAGAAUUCCUCGAUUAUCAUCUUCUGAAUUGAGUUAAACUCAGUACUCUUGGGAUUGUCUAAAGUAGAAUGGAAUAACACAUCUGGCUUUUUUACAAUUGUAACAAGAUUUAUGAGAAAAUAUAAAAGCGCCAAUUUGCCAAUCUAGUUAACAGCUUUUGGGUUUAUUCUAUACAACAAUUACAAGUACUUAAAGAACUUUGGCCUGUCGAAUUCCUAAUUCCAUAACCAAUCAGGAGAGACCUUAAGGCUAUGUUUGGUUCUAGAAAAGUUCGAGAGAAUGAAAAUAGAGAAGGUUGCUAUGUUUGGUUUUCAAAAAGUUUGAAGGAAAUAAAAUAUAAAGGAAGAAUUUAGAGAGAAAAAGGUAAGUAAAAUUUAUAAAUUUUUUAUCUUAUUUGGUUGUGUAAGAAAAAGUAAAUGGAAAUGAAAUUAAAUUGUUGAGGAAUGCAUUUUGCUCAAAUUUUUCUCACUUUUAUCUAGGAAAAUACAGAGGAAAAUCUUUUAGUAUUUUUUCCUCCGCAUAUUCCAUGACAUUCAAAACAUAAGAAAAUAAUUUUCUUUAGCAAUUUUUUUCUUAAUACUUUCCAAGAACCACACAUAUGAAAAGAAAAAGAUGAGAAAUCUUUAAAAAAAAAAAAGGAUUUUCUCUUAUUUGGUCUUUCAUGGAAAAGUUGAGGAAAAACAAAUAAACUACUGAAUAAUGCAUUUUCCAAAAACUUUCCCCACCUUUUUAAGUUAUGUGUGGUUCUCGGAAAAUACUAAGUAAAAAAAAAAUAUAAAGGAAAAUGAUUUUUUCAUGUUUGAUUGUCCUAUGAAAAAUAUAAAAGAAAAUAAAAUAUAAUUAAAACUAAUUAAAAACUUAUGUAUUUUUAAAUUAUUUAAUUUUUAUAUUGAUGAGUUAAAAUAAAUAAAAUGAGUUCGAAGUAACAAAAAAAAUAAUUUAUCGACUUUAAAUCUAUUUUUUAUUUUCCUUCUACUUUUCCUUUGUAUUUUCUUUCCCUUGCAUUUUCCCUCAAAUUUUCUGGGAAUCAAACAUAAUGAGGAGGAAAAUCUUUUGGCAGUAUUCCUCUCAUUUCUUUAGCAAUUUUUUUCCUCAGAUCUUUCCAUGUCCAAACAUAAAAAAAUAAUUUUCAUUAGCAUUCUUUUUCCUUUCCUUUGUAAUUUGCAGGAACCAAACAUAACUAAAAGUUUGAGAAGUAGAUUGCCAAAUUUAGAGUUAAUUAUGGAGGUUUCAAGUCUUUUUUUGAUGGACAUGUUGAACCAUAAGGAAUUUGAAAAUAUUAAGUAGCAUGUUUAAAUUUUCUACUAAUUUUAAAUUUGUUCUGGAUUAACCAAAUGGUAUGCACACAUGACUUACCAACACAGCAUCCAAGCAAUUUCUCAUCAACAAAGGAGAUGCAAGGAUGAGACUACAUCCUAAGUUUUAAAAUCAAGCACUUAAGCCUUACUACUGUAGGAGCAAUCAGGAAGGAUUUGCUGGUGAAUCCAAUAAAAAUAGCAGCUAAAAGUCCAUACUCAAGCUAAAAAAAAAGGGGAUAACACAUUAAUUUAAGCUAAUUUGAAAGAUGAGUAGGGUUCUUACCUCCGAGUUAUAAAACCUAAGUUCUCUACCACACUUGAGAUUGCCUUCUAACUUCUCAAUUGGGUUAACAGGAUGCAAGAAAUCCACAGGUGGCCCCUCAGUUGAGCACAAUAGAAAUCCAAUCACACCACUGUAUAAAAAUAGAAAAACAGUCCGCAAAUAAGAAUGACUUCACAGUUAGCCAAAAGUCAGAGAAUAAAAAAGAGAGAAAAAACCUAAACAUUUUGUAAGUAAUUAUAUCUAAAAAUUACCCAGCGUCUGAAUGACAAGUACAAAUUUGCCUCAGAAAAGAAAUUAUAUUUAAAAAAGGAAACGAAUUUUUAAGUAUCAACUUCACGGCAACAAGAGAACUUUGUAAAAGUUCAUUCUAUCAUUUACAUCAAGUUGUAUGAAGCAACAAUGAACAUAACAACAUUGAAGUAUAAGCAGGACUAGGAACUUGAUAGGGUUAAAAAUCUUCCAAAUCACCCUUAUCAUUUCUGGAAAGGGCAAUAGACCAAAGAGAAAAAAUCAGUAGAGCAAUUAGCCAUAUAUAGAGAUCAAUACAUGAUUACCUUGGAUAUGUAGGAACACUUGCCCAUGCAUAAUGGACCGAACCCUUGAAUGUUUCACGACAAAUAGAAAGCAUAUCCUGAAUAAGAUGUGUGUGGAGCCACAUGCUUUCAGCCAUGUUACAAAGAACACCACCAGGACGCAAAGCUCUGGCUGUUGUCUCAAAAAAUGGUCUCUCGACAAGUUCUUGAGCAGGACCUAAAUGAGGAAAAGAAACCAAACAAGGGAAGUAAAUAAUUACCUUAUUUGCCACAAAUCCCACUUAUUGGGAUAUUACACCUUGAAGACAUAAAAAGUUCAGAAUGAGAAAAAAGGAGGCCUUCAGAUGUUCUCUCUUCUUGGUAUUAUAACAGUAUCUUUCCUGAAUUUGAGAAACGUUUAUUUGGCCACCAGAGUCUGUCUAUAGUUUUUAUUCCAACCCCAACCCUGCUCAUGGACACACUAUACACACCCACACACCCAACUUCCCAAGAAAUAAAUAGAAAAAUUAUGGCAAAGGACAUACCCACAGGAUCUGAUGAAUCAACAAUAAUUGCAUCAUACUUCCCUUCAGGUACAUGUCUAAGAAAUUCAACAGCUGCCAAAAUCAUGAAAAUGAAAUCAAGAAGGUACAGCAAGAUAUUGGAAAAAAGCAGCUGAAGUCAUUAUUCUAGUUACAUAGGAUAAAGUAAGAUCUCUUUGAAAUUAUUUUGAGAAUGAACAUACCAUCCCCAACAUGAAGCUGGACACGAGGGUCUUCAAACCCAACGUAUAACUGUGGGAAAAACUUCUUACACACCUACAAAUAAACAACAGAAAGGAGUUGGUUCAAAUCACAAUGAACAAGCUAAGACCUAAUAACAUGAAAUGGUACAUCACACCACCACUUACAUCUAUAACCAUCUUAUCUAUCUCACAAAUAUCAAUAAGCUCAACAGAGCUAUGACGAGAAAUUUCCCUAAGAACCCCACCAUCACCACCACCAACAACCAGAACCUGCAUCCAGUACUUCAAUUAAAUCCAGUAUACAACUCAGCUUGAAGGGAAGUUAGUGCAAAGGCAUUAAGACAGAAAGAAAUCCAACUCUACAAGCAAUAUAAUCAUUAUUAUUAAUGAGGUACCAUAUAAUACAUAUACAUACGGGUGCAAUUAAAAAAAAAAAUCCCAAUUUGAAAUAAUUAUACUAGUUUCCAAUAUACUUUAAAUUAGGUAAGAAUGAAAUAAUCAUAUCCCACAAAGAGUGAUUGUUAUCCAUCUCAUUUCAGUUGAUUUUCCUUCUGUUUUUCUCUUCACUAAAAAUAUGGAUAUUUAUGAUAGGCAGGUUUGGAAAGAGGAUAAGCAAACUAUUCCUUCAGAUUCAUUUGCAACAUUACACCCCAGAGCUUCACCAGGCAAUUGUAUUUUCAAUGUUAUCAUGUUUUUUGUACAUAUGAUAUGGUAGAAUGAUUCUCAAGUUUUAAUUCUUACAUAUUUAAAUGGUCAAGUUUGAGCAUUUUGCUUCUCUCUUAAAGCUUCUUCACUUUAUUUUAUUGUAAAAUCUAAAAAUUAGCAAAGUGAACUAAUUUCGCAUUAUUUUUAGAUAAAAAUACCUUUCCAUAAUGAAAAAAAUAUAAAACAACAUGAAGAGUAAAACAUUGGCAAAGAUGGCAAAUUAAAAAUGGUUGUGAGAAAGAUAUAAUCCAAGUCAAAAGGAGAACAUUGACAACAUGGAAUAAAACUCCAAUGCUUGGAAAUAGUGAAAUUACUCUCUUGGGGGAUUCAAUUGAACAAAGGGGAAGGUGAGCAAUCAUCUCCUGAUAGGCACAUUCAUCUUUCUCGCUCAACUGAACAAUGCCAUCAAGCACAAGCACUUUGCCAUA
rnacentral:lncRNA from 1 species